GAUGAAGAACGUAGUAAAAUGCGAUACUUGGUGUGAAUUGCAGAAUCCCGUGAACCAUCGAGUCUUUGAACGCAAGUUGCGCCCGAAGCCUCGGCUAAGGGCACGUCUGCCUGGGCGUCACGCAUCGCGUCUCCCCCAAACCGCCAAGGCGGAGGGGAAGGAAGAUGGCUUCCCGUGCCUCACCCGGGCGCGGUUGGCCUAAAUUUGGAGCCCGCGGCACUUAGCUCUCGCGGCGAUAGGUGGUGAACAAGGCCUUGGCCGUGCAAACAACCCGCUGCGAAGCUCUAUGUCACGUGCGCUCGUCGGACCCUUUGAAGUUGCCUUCGGUGACUUAAAACCUUUGCGACCCCAGGUCAGGCGGGGCUACCCGCUGAAUUUAAGCAUACAAUAAGCGGAGGA
rnacentral:misc_RNA from 1 species